UCGAACGGUGAAGGGAUCAGCUUGCUGGUUCUGGAUGAGUGGCGAACGGGUGAGUAACACGUGAGUAACCUGCCCCCUUCUUCUGGAUAACCGCAUGAAAGUGUGGCUAAUACGGGAUAUUCUGGGUCUGUCGCAUGGCGGGUCUGGGAAAGAUAUUGUUUCGGUGGGGGAUGGGCUCGCGGCCUAUCAGCUUGUUGGUGGGGUGAUGGCCUACCAAGGCGGUGACGGGUAGCCGGCCUGAGAGGGUGGACGGUCACACUGGGACUGAGACACGGCCCARACUCCUACGGGAGGCAGCAGUGGGGAAUAUUGCACAAUGGGCGCAAGCCUGAUGCAGCGACGCCGCGUGAGGGAUGGAGGCCUUCGGGUUGUAAACCUCUUUCGCCAGUGAAGCAGGCCUGCUCCUUGUGGGUGG
rnacentral:rRNA from 1 species